GAGGGUAUAGCUUAGUGGUAGAGUGUGUGCUUAGCAUGCAUGAGGUCCUGGAUUCAAUCCCCAGUACCUCUG
rnacentral:tRNA from 1 species